rnacentral:rRNA from 1 species
UCAGUUGUGAAAGUUUGCGGCUCAACCGUAAAAUUGCAGUUGAUACUGGGCGCCUUGAGUGCAGCAUAGGUAGGCGGAAUUCGUGGUGUAGCGGUGAAAUGCUUAGAUAUCACGAAGAACUCCGAUUGCGAAGGCAGCUUACUGGACUGUAACUGACGCUGAUGCUCGAAAGUGUGGGUAUCAAACAGGAUUAGAUACCCUGGUAGUCCACACAGUAAACGAUGAAUACUCGCUGUUGGCGAUACACAGUCAGCGGCCAAGCGAAAGCAUUAAGUAUUCCACCUGGGGAGUACGCCGGCAACGGUGAAACUCAAAGGAAUUGACGGGGGCCCGCACAAGCGGAGGAACAUGUGGUUUAAUUCGAUGAUACGCGAGGAACCUUACCCGGGCUUAAAUUGCAGUGGAAUGUAGUGGAAACAUUACAGCCUUCGGGCCGCUGUGAAGGUGCUGCAUGGUUGUCGUCAGCUCGUGCCGUGAGGUGUCGGCUUAAG